rnacentral:rRNA from 1 species
UACGUAGGGGGCAAGCGUUGUCCGGAAUCAUUGGGCGUAAAGCGCGUGUAGGCGGCCAGAAAAGUCCGCUGUGAAAACUCGAGGCUCAACUUCGAGCUGUCGGUGGAAACUUUCUGGCUAGAGUCCGGAAGAGGAGAAUGGAAUUCCUGGUGUAGCGGUGAAAUGCGCAGAUAUCAGGAGGAACACCGGUGGCGAAGGCGGGUCUCUGGGCCGAUACUGACACUCAGGUGCGACAGCGUGGGGAGCAAACAGG